GAUUGAACGCUGGCGGCAGGCCUACCACAUGCAAGUCGAGCGGAUGAAGGGAGCUUGCUCCUGGAUUCAGCGGCGGACGGGUGAGUAAUGCCUAGGAAUCUGCCUGGUAGUGGGGGAUAACGUCCGGAAACGGGCGCUAAUACCGCAUACGUCCUGAGGGAGAAAGUGGGGGAUCUUCGGACCUCACGCUAUCAGAUGAGCCUAGGUCGGAUUAGCUAGUUGGUGGGGUAAAGGCCUACCAAGGCGACGAUCCGUAACUGGUCUGAGAGGAUGAUCAGUCACACUGGAACUGAGACACGGUCCAGACUCCUACGGGAGGCAGCAGUGGGGAAUAUUGGACAAUGGGCGAAAGCCUGAUCCAGCCAUGCCGCGUGUGUGAAGAAGGUCUUCGGAUUGUAAAGCACUUUAAGUUGGGAGGAAGGGCAGUAAGCUAAUACCUUGCUGUUUUGACGUUACCAACAGAAUAAGCACCGGCUAACUUCGUG
rnacentral:rRNA from 1 species